rnacentral:rRNA from 1 species
AAAGCCUUACCAGGGCUUGACAUCCCUCUGACCGGCACUUAACCGUGCCUUUCUUCGGACAGAGGUGACAGGUGGUGCAUGGUUGUCGUCAGCUCGUGUCGUGAGAUGUUGGGUUAAGUCCCGCAACGAGCGCAACCCUUGUCGUCAGUUACUAACAUUAAGUUGAGGACUCUGACGAGACUGCCGAGGUCAACUCGGAGGAAGGUGGGGAUGACGUCAAAUCAUCAUGCCCCUUAUGUUCUGGGCUACACACGUGCUACAAUGGUCGGUACAAUGAGAGGCAAAACAGUGAUGUGGAGCAAAUCACCAAAACCGAUCCCAGUUCGGAUUGCAGGCUGCAACUCGCCUGCAUGAAGUCGGAGUUGCUAGUAAUCGCGAAUCAGCAUGUCGCGGUGAAUGCGUUCCCGGGUCUUGUACACACCGCCCGUCACACCAUGGAAGUUGGGGGCGCCCAAAGUUGGCUAAUCAAUCUGCUACCUAAGGCGAAACCAAUGACUGGGGUG